rnacentral:rRNA from 1 species
GACGAACGCUGGCGGCGUGCCUGACACAUGCAAGUCGGACGGUUCUUGUAUCUUCAAGCUUGCUUGCAGGUGCAAGGAUAGUGGCGGACGGGUGAGUAACGCGUGAACAUCUACCCAUUGGAGGGGGACAACCCGUCGAAAGGCGGGCUAAUACCGCGUAAGCCGCGAGGUGAGAGGCUGCCUAUUGGUGGCCGCCGAUGGAUGGGUUCGCGUCCUAUCAGCUGGUUGGUGGGGUAACGGCCUACCAAGGCGAGGACGGGUAGCCGGUCUGAGAGGAUGGCCGGCCACACUGGAACUGAGACACGGUCCAGACUCCUACGGGAGGCAGCAGUGGGGAAUAUUGGUCAAUGGGCGAGAGCCUGAACCAGCCAAGUCGCGUGAAGGAAGAAGGUUCUAUGGAUUGUAAACUUCUUUUGCAGGGGAAUAAAGGACGGUACGUGUACUGUUUUGUAUGUACCUUGCGAAUAAGGAUCGGCUAACUCCGUG